GACGAACGCUGGCGGCGUGCUUAACACAUGCAAGUCGAACGGACGAAGCCCCUUCGGGGGCCGAGUUAGUGGCGGACGGGCGAGUAACGCGUGAGCAACCUGCCCAUAAGAGGGGGAUAACAUCGGGAAACCGAUGCUAAUACCGCAUAAGACCACGAUAGCACAUGCUAAUGAGGUCAAAGGAGCAAUCCGCUUAUGGAGGGGCUCGCGUCCCAUUAGGUGGAUGGUGAGGUAACGGCCCACCAUGCCCGACGAUGGGUAGCCGGACUGAGAGGUUGAACGGCCACACU
rnacentral:rRNA from 1 species